CCUACGGGCGGCAGCAGUCGAGAAUCAUUCACAAUGGGGGAAACCCUGAUGGUGCGACGCCGCGUGGGGGAAUGAAGGUCUUCGGAUUGUAAACCCCUGUCAUGUGGGAGCAAAUUAAAAAGAUAGUACCACAAGAGGAAGAGACGGCUAACUCUGUGCCAGCAGCCGCGGUAAUAAAGAGGUCUCAAGCGUUGUUCGGAAUCACUGGGCGUAACGCGUGCGUAGGCUGUUUCGUAAGUCGUGUGUGAAAGGCGCGGGCUCAACCCGCGGACGGCACAUGAUACUGCGAGACUAGAGUAAUGGAGGGGGAACCGGAAUGCUCGGUGUAGCAGUGAAAUGCGUAGAUAUCGAGAGGAACACUCGUGGCGAAGGCGGGUUCCUGGACAUUAACUGACGCUGAGGCACGAAGGCCAGGGGAGCGAAAGGGAUUAGAUACCCCUGUAGUC
rnacentral:rRNA from 1 species